CAGUAAAGAGGGCUGGCCACUCCAGUGCCUAUUCUACAGCCAAAUCCCCAGUGAAUGGAACUCCCAGCAGCCAGCUUUCCACUCCUAAGUCCACCAAGUCCUCCAGCUCCUCUCCAACCAGCCCGGGAAGUUUCAGAGGACUGAAGAUUUCUGCUCAGGGCAGAUCUUCUUCCAAUGUAAACGGUGGGCCCGAACUUGACCGUUGCAUGAGUCCUGAAGGCGUGAAUGGAAACAGGUGCUCCGAGUCAUUCACUCUUCUGGAGAAAUACAGAAUCGGGAAGGUCAUCGGAGACGGCAACUUUGCCGUAGUUAAAGAAUGUAUGGACAGGUCCACUGGAAAGGAGUUUGCAUUAAAGAUUAUUGACAAAGCCAAAUGCUGUGGAAAGGAACAUCUGAUUGAGAACGAAGUGUCAAUCCUGCGCCGGGUGAAGCACCCCAACAUCAUCAUGCUGGUUGAGGAGAUGGAAACAACAACUGAGCUCUUCCUAGUGAUGGAACUGGUCAAA
rnacentral:lncRNA from 1 species